CAGUAUUGCUACCAGCCCCAUUCAGGGGCCCCCCUGAGUGGGUAGUUCAGCUAUUAUUAGUCAGGUGCGGCUAUGAGUGAAUGGGUAACUCAACUUCCUCUUUUGCCCCCUGGCAGGUGCUGCCUGGGGCCUUUGCUUGGGGCCUAUGAUAUUACAUCUGGGAUAGGAGCAGCACCAGAAGAACAUCCUGUCCACAGCCUCCUGGAGUCCUAGGUCAUCAUCCCCACACAUCCAGAGAGUGCCAAGUGCCAGCAAUGUUAUGUAUUAAUAUUAUUCACUUCAUCUUUAAAAAGCUACCUCAUUUCAUCAUAGACUCACACAACUACUCAGUAACAGAAUUUAUAAUUCCCUCUCCCACGCCUGCGAGUUUUGUUUUUUUUUUUCCAUAAAAGAGGAAGUAGAGAUUCAGAAGUUAACUUGUCAAAGUUCACACCUUCAAAAAUGACUGUCAAGUUUCAACUCAGAGCUGCUUGGAUCCAAAGAAAGAUAUACCCAUUUGAAUGAAGAGUUCGAAAGAAUAGCAAGGAUAGAUAAGAAAGCCUUCCUCAGUGAUCAGCGCAAAAAAUUAGAGAAAAACAAUAGAAUGGGAAAGACUAGAGAUCUCUUCAAGAAAAUUAGAGACACCAAGGGAACAUUUCACGCAAAGAUGUGCACAAUAAAGGACAGAAAUGGUAUGGACCUAAGGGAAGCAGAAGAUACUAAGAAGAGGUGGCAACAAUACACAGAAGAACUGUACAAAAAAGAUCUUCAUGACCCAGAUAAUCAUGAUGGUGUGAUCACUCACCUAGAGCCAGACAUCCUGGAAUGUGGAGUCAAGUGGGCCUUAGAAAGCAUCACUACGAACAAAGCUAGUAGAGGUGAUGAAAUUCCAGUUGAACUAUUUCAAAUCCUGAAAGAUGAUGCUGUGAAAGUGCUGCUGCACUCAAAAUGCCAGCAAAUUUGGAAAACUCAGCAGUGAUCACAGGACUGGAAAAGGUCAGUUUUCAUUCCAAUCCCAAAGAAAGGCAAUGCCAAAAAAUGUUCAAACUAUUGCACAGUUGCACUCAUCUCACACGCUAGCAAAGCGGUCCUCAAAAUUCUCCAAGUAAGGCUUCAGCAGUACGUGAAC
ensembl:lncRNA